rnacentral:tRNA from 1 species
AUUUAAAUAGUUUAAAUAAAAAUAAUGAUUUGUGGGGUCAUAGAUGUGAUAAAUAUCAUUUUAAAUU